CCUUAAACCUAGAUUUUUUUAUAUAUAAAAAUUUACCAGAGAACUACAAACUAAACGUUUAAAAUUCAAAGGACUUGGCGGUACCUCAAACCCACCUAGAGGAGCCUGUUCUAUAAUCGAUAACCCACGAUUAACCUCACCACCCCUUGCCCUCAGCCUAUAUACCUCCGUCUACAGCUCACUCUACAANGAGAUAAAAGUAAGCCAANCAAUCUACAUAAUUAAUAAGUCAGGUCAAGGUGUAGCCAAUGGGGUGGAAGAAAUGGGCUACAUUUUCUAAAUUAGAAAUAACUAACGGAAAGAACCUUGAAAUAUGGGUCUAAAAAUAGGAUUUAGCAGUAAUGUGUGAACAGAGAGCCCACAUUAACCCGGACCUGAGAU
rnacentral:rRNA from 1 species